rnacentral:rRNA from 1 species
UACGUAGGGUGCAAGCGUUGUCCGGAUUUAUUGGGUUUAAAGGGUGCGUAGGCGGUCUAUUAAGUCAGUGGUGAAAUCCAACAGCUCAACUGUUGAUGUGCCAAUGAUACUGAUGGACUUGAGUACAGACGAGGUAGGCGGAAUUGACAGUGUAGCGGUGAAAUGCAUAGAUAUUGUCAAGAACACCGAUAGCGAAGGCAGCUUGCUAGCCUGUAACUGACGCUGAGGCACGAAGGUAUGGGGAUCAAACAGG